GCUGCGGUGGUUCAUGUUAUCUGAUUGUAUAAGAUUCUUGCAGGACUUUGAAAUAUCUUGUUUAGUCAGGAAUAAAAAAAAACAGUUCAAAAAAAAGAAUAAAAUUUGCCUGAAAAACAGAAUAAAAGGAAAAAAUAUUAUUACAAAAAAAUAGAAAAACAGAGAGAAGAAAGAAAAUUGUCCAAAAACGGCAAAGGAAAAAAAGAUACACAAAAAACACUUUUUUGGGGGGGAAGUGAAUGCAAUAUGCUUCCGUGUACACUGUGUGCACAAUUAUUAGGCAAGUGAGUAUUUUGAUCAUAUCAUUUUUAUGCAUAUUUUCCAACUCCAAGCUGUAUAAACUUGAAUGUUUAUUGGAUAUAAGCAUAUCAGGUAAUGUGUAUUAGUGUAAUGACGGAGGCUGGGGCCUAAGGAGAUCAAAACCCUUUUUUUAAGGUGUGCAUAAUUAUUAGGCAGCUUCUUUUCCUCAGGUAAAAUGGGCCAAAAAAGAGAUUUAAGUGACUCUGAAAAGUCAAAAAAUGUAAAAAGUCUUUCAGAGGGAUGCAGCACUCUUGAAAUUGCUUAGAUAUUUGGGCGUGAUCACAGAAACAGCAAACAUUUUGAUGCAAAUAGUCAACAGGGUCGCAAGAAAUGUGUUAAGAAAAAAAGACGCAAAUUAACUGCCAAAGAUUUGAGAAGACUCAAACGUAAAGCUACCAGGAAUCGCUUAUCCUCCGGUGCUGUCAUAUUCCAGAACUGCAACCUACCUGGAGUGCCUAGAGGUACAAGAUGAUCAGUGCUCAGAGACAUGGCCAAAGUAAGGAAGGCUGAAACCCGACCACCACUGAACAAGACACAAGUUGAAACGUCAAGACUAAGCCAAGAAAUAUCUGAAGAGAGAUUUUUCAAAGGUUUUAUGGACUGAUGGGAUGAGAGUGACUCUUGACGGACCAGAUGGAUGGACCUGUGGCUGGAUCAGUAAUGGGCACAGAGCUCCACUUUGAAUCAGACACCAGCAAGGUGGAGACGGGGUACUGGUAUGGGCUGGUAUUAUUAAAGAUGAGCUAGCUGGACCUUUUCGAGUUGAAGAUGGACUUAAAAUCAACUCCCAAAUCCAAUGCCAGUUUUGAGAAGACACUUUCUUCAAGCAGUGGUACGGGCAAAAGUCUGCAUCUUUCAAGAAAACCAUGAUUUUAAUGCAGAACAAUGCUCCAUUGCAUGCAACAAAGUACUCCACUAUGUGGCUCGCCAAUAAAGGCCUUAAAAACGAAAGAAUAAUGACAUGGCCUCCUUCUUCACCUGACCUAAACCCUGUUGAGAACUUGUGGGCCCUUCUUAAACGGAAAAUUUACAGUGAAGGAAGACAGUACACCUCUCUGAACAGUGUCUGGAACAGUAUCUGGGAGGCUUUGGUUGCUGCAACACAAAAAGUUGAUCGUCAACAGAUCAAGAAACUGAAAGACUUCAUGAAUGGAAGGCUUAUGACUGUUAUUGAAAAGAAGGGUAGUUACAUUGGUCACUGAUUUUUUUUUUAAAUUUCAACAAUUUUUAUUUGUAAAUUGAGUUGUUUGUUUAUCAUUCUCACUUUUACAAGUGAAAAUAAACAAGUGAGAUGGAAAAUUUUUCAUUUUUAAUUUAGUUGCAUAAUAAUUCUGCACACUAAUAGCUGCCCCCAAUAAUUGUGCACACAUAGAUAUUCUCCUAAGGAAGUCAAAAUCUCACUUUUACUCCCUUAAAUUUUAAGGUUUGAGGUUUAUUAACAUUUUGGAUUGACCAAGAGCACUGCAGUUGUUCAAAAAUAAAAUUUAUCCUCAAAAAUACAACUUGCCUAAUAAUUGUGCACACAGUGUAUAUUACACCUUUUAAAAAAAAAAAAAGUAAUGUUUUUCCAGUGGCCCUCAUCCUCUUUCUUAAAACAAUAAUAAACUGACAGUUGUCACAAAUUGAUGAAAUUACCAGCUAAACACAUGAAUACUUGAAAACAAGCAAGACUUUCCUGUAUAGUCCAUUUUGUGGUCAAUGUUCCUGUAGUUACCUGGUAAUUUAAAGGCAGCUGUCAGAUACAUGUUAAACCAGGUUAGUUCCAGUCAAGGUUUUAUCAUUUAUGAGGUGGUGCAUUGAAGUAGCUUUUAAAGGCCAUCAAACAGCUAAGAUCAAUUAGAUGUUAGGGCGCUGUUAAGAGAGUGACGAUUUUCACUCUAAUAUAUUGUGCCAGUGGUUGUUAAUAUGGUGACGUGUUGCUAUUACGCUUCAGAUAUAGAGAAUGAAACCGUAAAAAUCAUCUUGUAUUCCCUCUCUGCAGCUCAAACCCCUUUCUGUGACCCCCAAUGAAAUUUGAUUUCUCAAACACAUCACUUAAAGAAGUGAUUAAAACUCGCAUAAGAUUUUGCUAAUGGCCCAACAAUAUUUACCAGGUCUGGUACCCCCUAUGAAGUUCCUAGUCUCAAAGUUUACCUGGCAGGUAAGAAAUGCUCUGCUCAGUAAUAAAACAGGAAUUUGGGUAAGUGGUUGGCAAAACUGAGCAAAUAAAAGCGAAGACAAUUAUACUUUACACAAUUGUGUUAAUUAUGGCAGAGACAGCUGCUCACAGCAGGGACAUGGUGGGUAUCCUAUUGACGCCUCAGGCUUAAUGUAAUAACUCAGCAGUGUGCGCCAAAGUGCAGAGGCCAGCACAGACUUCUCUCCCUAUGUCCUGAACUUGAAAUCUUCAGUUCUCAUUGAAGUCACUCACCAAAGCUGUUCCCUGAGCUCCUGAGUCUUGUAAAUUCCUCUUGAUUGUUGCCACAGAUCACCUGCCUGACUCUUCACAGCUCUCUCAGUCUCGCCUUUAUCAUCGCAUUAUGAUGAUAUUAACUGCUAUAAUGAGCAUUAUCCUUCCUGCUGUAAUUAACUCCAUUAGCACACAUGCUGUUUUUUGCUGUUUUUGACUUGAACUGUCAACAGCAUAAAAUGCCCUUAAGUAUAAAGCCAUUCUUAUAGUAUAUGUGUGUGCUGUGAUGUGAAAGAAUUGUCUCCAAAAGAAUUUCAAAUCACAUUGUGUGAUUAUAGUUCUAAAAUCUUUGUUUAGGGGGUCUGUGAUGGAUCUUAGAGUUUAAUUUCUUGACCCAAGAAAUUCAACUCUUUCUAGUCCCCAGUUUAACUUGAAUCACUAAACUCUGAGUCUAAGAAGAGUCUGGGUCAUCAGGGUGGAAUUCAAGUCCAGUCUUAGUCCCAGUGUCCUAGUUGUGAGACUCACAAAGUGAGUCCUGAUCACCUUUGUCCGAGUUCUCAAUAUUAAUGUUAUUAUGAUUUAUUACACAUGCACUGUUACAUAAGAGAUUGUUAGUGACAGGUGAUUUUUUUGUUCCUAUAACAUAUAAAGCUCUGUUUUCAUAGCCUGGCUGGUCCAUCCAGUUGCUACUGUUUUAAUGCUGCAGCAUGUGUUUUGUUAGCAUGCUAAUAUUUAACCAUACAACUACACAUAAUGCUGAGCGGAUGAAACCUCAUGAAGUGUGACAUAUUUAAUAUUGUGAGCUGUUUCUCCUCACAGGAUCUUUUUGUAACACCUUAGGAUAGGAUCUGUGUUCUUUUUUUUAAAAAUGGAGUAGUAAUUGAUUCUUGCUGACACUUUUUACUUGUAUUUAUCACUCAAAACUGUAACUUCAGGAACUCCUGUAUAAGCAGAUCAUGACAUCGAUAAGAUCUCAGUUUGCUUACUUCGCUCGAAGACUGGCUGCUUCUCACUCUGUUUGAGACUAGGGAAGCUCUGCUCAGGUGACAUUGCUCAGGUAAACCAAACAGCAGCCUACAGAGUUUUCAGAGCACAUCUCACACAGUCACUCCUCAUUGGAGUGCUACAUUUGUAAAAUGAAACGUCUGAUCGGGUCCAGACUCGUGUGUCCCAUGAUUGUUUGGAAUUACCAUGUAAAAACUGCUAUGACUCAGCUGAGGACCCGUGCUGAUCUGCUAACUACGUGAAUGCACACAGGUGAGUUUGUAUCUGUCAUUAUAUGGUGAGAUACAGUAUUGUGUGGUGUAACAUUGAAAGCUGUAACACGAAAGGGUCUGGGUGAAAAAAAAAUCUGAAUUUUCAGUGGAUCAGACUGAAAAUAGCACAAGAUGGUUUCACAGGAACUUGAGUUAUUAGCUGAUAUAAAAAAAUAAUCUGAAAUACAAGCGUAUUGCAUUCACUUCCAAAAAAAAGGAAACUGUUCAUUUAAGUAAUUUUUUUUUUUCCUGUGCUGUUUUUCAGACAAACUUUUUCCUUUUUCUGUUUCUCUGACUAUUUUUUUGUCCUGUUUUUUGUACGAAUAUUUUUUCCACCCUUUCUGUUAUUUGGACAAAUUUUAAUUCUUUUUUUCGUACUAUUUUUUUUUUGUCUCUGUUUUUCGGAUUUUUUUUCCUGACUAAGCUAGGUACUUAGAAAUCCUACGAGAAUCUCAUGCAAUCAGAUAACGUUAACCACCGCAGCUGCUCCACAUCAGCAGAUUCUCCAGCUUCCAGAUAACUUCGACUACAGGGUCAAUGAGAGGAAGGCAUGUUAUCAGUUAAACAUAGGGUAUGCAAAUCCUGAGGGGCCUGUGCAAAG